AAUCUAUUGUACAUAGAAUCUGCAUAAUAAUACUGAACGCUAACACUUGUGUUCUUGUUACAAAACAUCUUCAGUUGUUUUUUCUCAAAUGUUUUGAUGCUCCAGAAACCAGAAAUAUUUGCACAAUAUUUUGCAGUGGAAGUCCUGCAGAACUUGUAUGACGAUUAUCUAGCUUAUUGUUUUCUUUGUAUUGAGACAGGGGAUGUAACUUGUUUAGCCACUGUUCCGGUGGACAUGAAAGCAGAAGCCCACUUCAUUGCAAAGGAGGAUGGGGUCAUUGCUGGAAUUUCUUUUGCAGAGAUGAUUUUUAAUGAGGUUGAUCCAUCAUUAAAGGUUGAAUGGUCUCAGAAAGAUGGAAACUAUGUUCACAAAGGCAUGCAGUUUGGCAAAGUAUAUGGACUGUCUUCAUGUAUUCUUCUUGGGCACUUGUUCUUAUUGGGCAAAAAGACAGCGCAGCUAAGACUGUAUUGGGGCUUGAUAGGUGAAGUUCCUCUUGGAAGAGUGCCUUGAGAAAUUACUACUUACAACCUUGUAAGUUGUAACUGACUCAAAAAGACAGCUACUACCACCACUCCUUCAGAUAUGGUCCAUUUAAUUUCCUCACUGCCUAUUUAUUCCAAGGAAUCUUCAACAUGAUGUUAUGUGUUGGAACAACAAUACUUCCACUACAGUUCAUUUAUAGGAUAUCUAUACCUUACCAUCGGACGAGCAGAAUCAAGUUCCAUGCAAGAUGCCAAUUUCUGAUGGAUUUGGUAGUCAAAUAAUAUCAGUUCUCCACCAGGGGUUUGAUACAUGAUCUCUUGGGACCUCCCAACUCAGAUUACGGCAGCAACAACCACUUUCAUUGUUCUUGGUUUGCAGAUUAUAUUUAUAACUUUUGUCUUUCUUAUUGACUCUAUGUGAGCCAUGUAUAAUUGUUUCUCUAAGCUGCUGUUGGGAAAUAAAAAUGUCUUUCUUAUUGUUUCUUA